ACGAAUGCUAUAAAAGAAAUUGAUGGAUAGCGAUAUGUCUAUGAGGAUCCAAGGAGAGCUUCCCUUGCCAUUUAUAGGAAAUUUGAAGAGGCACAGCCAUGCCGUAUCGCUCUCUCCAGACAUUAUUGCGAUGUCCCGACUAAUUGAAAAUGAUGUAAUUAAGCGCGCAGAGCCAGAUAGAGAUGUAUUAAUCGAACCAAUCAUCACGUCUCAUUUGAACUGAUCCCUUAGGCCCUCAGGGGAUAAACAACCUAAUUAUCAAGUACCAUAUCUGGUCAUAAUGUCCAUCUAGAAAAAUCGCAUUAGGGGCUCGAUUGCCUAGGGAAUUUGAUCUCUGACAAUAGACAGAGAGAAAGGCGCAAUUCGUUACCUUUCGUUAAGAGGCGUAAACAUAGUAAACGUUGAUGGGGUCUUAGUAUUAGGAGUAAGGAUGGAAAUGUGGAAAGGGAAUUGCAUGAGAAUUGAUGAAAUUAACGAGCAACUUAUAGGUCGUCGAUCAUGUUUCACUGGAAGAUCAGUUGCUAGGAUUUUAUUCAAGCAUCGGGUAUGCUUGCGCCUAAUACGGAACUGUUUCCAGCAUUGCGAUAUAUAUUACCAUUAACUCUCUCUUUCUCUGUGUGCUGGAUCAAAAAACCUAGAGUGCAUUGGACAAUAUCCUUGUAACGCGUGGCGCGCUGGUAUUCUGUAUUCCGGAUUCCGGAUUGUCCCUUGUACGUCAGUGCAGUACUGCGCAGUGUAGUGGCAUGCGGCAAGCGGCAAGGUCGGCGUUUUGCAUGGAAAGGAAGGAAUCAACAAUAAAUUGAAUGGAAAGCAAGGAGAUGGAGAAGUUUUGUAAUUCCAAUGCCAAACAUAUGCUUUUCUAAUGUGAAAAUGUGAAAAAGAUGAGAGAGGAAACGAGGACGAUAUGGGUAUUUUGGUGCGGUUAUCGCUGUUGAUUAUGGAAUAGACGGCUUCUUAAGCAACUUUUAGAACCGAAAACAAGCGGAUGAGAUUAUUACUCAAAAAAAAAAUAAAUAAAAAAAUAAAUAAAAUAAAUAAAAACAAUAUGAAAUUAAAAAAAAAAGAUUUGAAUUGAAAAAAAAAAAUAAAUCAAUAAAUUAAAUUAAAUUGAAAGGAUUUAAAAUGGUACAAUUAGAAACCACUUGAAAUGAAUAUAAAAGAAUAAACUAAUAACGGAAAAUUUUCCUCACUUCCUUAAAAACAGAUUAAGAAAUAAAAAAAAUAACCCAUUCAAAAUAAAAAAAUAUUCAUUCAUGUUGUUCCACUACGAUGUUAUUUUGCGCUGUCUAGUUUUUACAUAAACAUUUACAAUUACAAAUUCAUUUGACUCUUACACAUUUCGACUGUCUCAUGCGUGUAUUUACUGAAUGUCGGAAUUUUUUUUUAAACUUUUAGGCAUUUCGCUACUGAUGCUGUCAGAGGCUUACACUAACAAGCAAGGUUGCUAUAGAGUCCAUCUAUUAUAUGCAAUGAACAUGACUUGGAUAUUUUCAUAUUACGCACAUUCAUCAAUCAUCAUGUCUAGGCUUUUCAACAUUGCGAAUUUUUGAUUUCGCUACUUACAGAUCAUUUGUCGCUCGUUGUACAGAACGAGUACCAAAGCCACUUAGCAACACUUACGUUUUGGGACGAUGUUGUUUCACGCAUCAUUUUCAAGUGCUCUCAAAUCCUUCAAUACUACCUAAUAAGAUGUUUCGUGGCUUAGUGAAAUUUCCAAUCGCAGAUGGUUCAAAGGAGGCACACACACAUUUUUUUUCAACAAUUUUUUGGUUUACUUGUUGAGAUAGUGUUCUUAACGUUACUUGGAAGCCAUAUGUAAAAAGAAACAAAGAUGUCUGUGUGCGCCAUGAAAGUGGAAACUUGAAAUCCCAUUAAACAAAACAUUAUAAAGGAGGAAUAACUAUUUUAUAAUUUGACGACUCCUUUUUUGCUCAUAUACUUAAUAUGUAUCUUUAUUUUAUAAAUUUUAUUACAAUACAUUCAUAUAUUUAUUACUAUUUUACUUAAUUUUCAUACUUAUUCUAUUUAUUUAUUUUUUAAAAUC
rnacentral:lncRNA from 1 species